rnacentral:rRNA from 1 species
UACGUAGGGUGCAGGCGUUAAUCGGAAUUACUGGGCGUAAAGCGUGCGCAGGCGGUCUAUUAAGACAGGUGUGAAAUCCCCGGGCUUAACCUGGGAACUGCGCUUGUAACUGAUAGGCUUGAGUGUGGCAGAGGGGGGUGGAAUUCCACGUGUAGCAGUGAAAUGCGUAGAGAUGUGGAGGAACACCGAUGGCGAAGGCAGCCCCCUGGGCUAACACUGACGCUCAUGCACGAAAGCGUGGGGAGCAAAC